CUGGGGCUAAUGAAGAUGGAGCACAACAGUGAUACAUGAAGAGGAUCAGACUUUCUACACAGAGCCACGUACACCAAGAGGGGAAAAUAUCUCCCAUACAGACCAUGAUUUUUUCCCUGAAAUGACAGUUUCAAGACUAUUCAGUGCUCUAUCUAUAUCUUGCUGAUUUAAAUGUUCCCAGGAACUUUGGCAGCUCUCCACAUCUACAGCUCCUCUGCAGGCUGAACAACUCCAGCUCCCUCAGUCUAUCCUUACAGCAGAGGUGCUCCAGCCCUUACACCAUCUUUAUAGCCCUCCUCUGGCCUCGCUCCAGCAGCUCCAUGUCCUUCUAGAGAUGGAGACACCAGAACCAGAUGCAGUAUACCAGGUGGGGUCUCACAAGAGCAGAGUGUGUUUUGAAGAAGAAAAAAAAUGGGAUGAAAGAAUGAGAGAAAAGUGUAGUUACUGUAACUACCUGCUGCAAAAAUAUUUUCCUGAAGCACCACAUUGAGAAAAUACUUUGCAAUGCUACAUACAUAUCCAUGUAGCAAGAAAAUGCAAAAAUCAUGUGAAGUUUGUAUUUAUUCCUGGGAAAAAAACCCAAGAUAAAAGUAAAACAAUUCAUGCCUGUUUAACACAAUGAGACCUGUGAUGCCAGUGAAGGACCUGCUUUUUUACGUGACCACUCCCAGUGGAAAGAAAAGAACUGAAGCAACAAUGGGGAGGCAAUGGAUUGGGAUGCUGCAAUGAGCCAUGCUGGGGCCCACAGCUCUGA